AAGCAGCAAGCUGCGCUGGCGAUUUAUACUAGACGAAGCCAUUGCAACGUGACACUGUGAGAAAGUCAACAAAUAUAGAAGAGAAGAAAAGGCUGAAAGAAAGAAUAAGAAAUUAAGGAGCGUGAAAGUAAGUUUGAACCGAAGAGAUGAGCUUCUCUUGAUGUUGAUGUGGAUUACGUCGACAAUGAUGAAGAAUCUAAUCCCUGUCCUGGACUCCAGUACGUAGCAUUCGCAGAUUGUUGUUGGCUGCUUUGUAUAUAAUGGAAAUUCCAUGAGGUCACAAUUUAAACGUCAGAAGGCACUAUGAGACAUUAUAGAGUAUCUCAAGUAAAAGAAAGCCAUCAAUAAUUAUAUGGUUAGGUUUUUUCAUGUGAAACAUAAUUGUCACUGGAACUACCAGUGAAUGGUGUUAUUUUUGUUUGUAGGUUGAGAAGAGUCGAUUGAAACUUCUGAAGAUUGUAAUCAAUUAUCAACAAUCCUCCCACCCAUCCUUUUACAGCAGUUUCCAACAUCCUCAUAAAUUAGAGUCUGUUGAAUUAAUUAAGAGAGAUUUCAUAAUCUUGUUUGCUCUGACCAUGGGUAAUUGACUAAUUCUCAAAUAUUCGUUGUGUAAAAUGAAAAAGGUGAGAAGAAGCCAGUUAGAUCUGGAUUUCUGAUAUCAAUUCAUGAUUCAAUUAAUUAGUGAGUAUGGAUGACAGUACAACUCAUGUUCUCUCCAACCCACUUCUUGUGAGAUGAUUUCUACAUGACUUACCCUUCAUUUCUCACGCUUUC